rnacentral:rRNA from 1 species
GACGUAGGGUGCAAGCGUUGUCCGGAAUUAUUGGGCGUAAAGGGCUCGUAGGCGGUCCAUCGCGUCGGGAGUGAAAAGCUGGGGCUUAACCCCAGUCCUGCUUCCGAUACGGGUGGACUAGAGGUAGGUAGGGGAGAACGGAAUUCCUGGUGUAGCGGUGAAAUGCGCAGAUAUCAGGAGGAACACCGGUGGCGAAGGCGGUUCUCUGGGCCUUACCUGACGCUGAGGAGCGAAAGCAUGGGGAGCAAACAGG